rnacentral:rRNA from 1 species
AGUGAACGCUGGCGGUAGGCCUAACACAUGCAAGUCGAACGGCAGCACAGUAAGAGCUUGCUCUUACGGGUGGCGAGUGGCGGACGGGUGAGGAAUACAUCGGAAUCUACUUUUUCGUGGGGGAUAACGUAGGGAAACUUACGCUAAUACCGCAUACGACCUACGGGUGAAAGCAGGGGAUCUUCGGACCUUGCGCGAUUGAAUGAGCCGAUGUCGGAUUAGCUAGUGGGCGGGGUAAAGGCCCACCAAGGCGCCGAUCCGUAGCUGGUCUGAGAGGAUGAUCAGCCACACUGGAACUGAGCCACGGUCCAGACUCCUACGGGAGGCAGCAGUGGGGAAUAUUGGACAAUGGGCGCAAGCCUGAUCCAGCCAUACCGCGUGGGUGAAGAAGGCCUUCGGGUUGUAAAGCCCUUUUGUUGGGAAAGAAAAGCAGCAGGUUAAUACCCCGCUGUUCUGACGGUACCCAAAGAAUAAGCACCGGCUAACUUCGUG